CCUACGGGAGGCAGCAGUGAGGAAUAUUGGUCAAUGGACGAGAGUCUGAACCAGCCAAGUCGCGUGAAGGAUGACUGCCCUAUGGGUUGUAAACUUCUUUUAUCAGGGAAUAAAACGAGGCACGUGUGCCUUUUUGCAUGUACUUUAUGAAUAAGGAUCGGCUAACUCCGUGCCAGCAGCCGCGGUAAUACGGAGGAUACGAGCGUUAUCCGGAUUUAUUGGGGUUAAAGGGAGCGUAGAUGGGUUGUUAAGUCAGUUGUGAAAGUUUGCGGCUCAAACGUAAAAUUGCAAUUGAUACUGGCAGUCUUGAGUACAGGUGAGGUAGGCGGAAUGCGUGGUGUAGCGGUGAAAUGCUUAGAUAUCACGAAGAACCCCGAUUGCGAAGGCAGCUUACUAAACUGUGACUGACACUGAUGCUCGAAAGUGUGGGUAUCGAACAGGAUUAGAUACCCCAGUAGUC
rnacentral:rRNA from 1 species